UAAAAGAACCGAUCCUAAAAGUUCCACUUUUAAGAUCGGUUACAAAGAAAUCGAUCUUAAAAGUGGCACUUUUAAGAUUGGUUAUUUUA
rnacentral:miRNA from 1 species